UGCAUUAUUUUAUAUGGCUGAAUAAUAUUCCAUCAUAUAUACAUACUACAUCUUCUUUAUCCAUUCAUUCAUCAGUGGACACUUAGAUUGUUUCCAUAUCUUGGUUGUCAUAAAUAACACUGCAAUGAACGUAAGAGUGCAUAGAUAUUUUUGAAUUAGUACUUUUGUUCUUCAGACAGAUACCCAGUAGUGGAAUUGCUGGAUCAUAUGGUGGCUUUACUUAUAAUUUUUUGAAGAAACUUCAUGAUGUUUUUCAUAGUGACUGCACCAACUUAGAUUCCCACCAACAGUGCACAAGGGUUCCCUUUAUUUCACAUCCUUGCCAGCACUUAUUAUUUCUUGUCUUCUUGAUAAUAACAAUUCUGACUGGUGUGAGGUGAUAUCUCAUUUUGGUUUUGAUUUGCAUUUUCCUGGUGCUUAGUGAUGUUGACAUCUUUCAUGUGCUUAUUGACCAUUUGCCUGUCUUCUUUGGAAAAAUGGCUUUUCAAACUCUCUGCCCAUUUUUUAAUUGCAUUGUUUGUUUUAUUGCUAUUGAAACAUAUAACUUCUUUAUAUAUUUUGGAUACUAAGCCCAUAUCAGAUAUACAAUUUCCAAAUAUAUCUUCUCCCAUUCAGCAGGUUGCCUUUUCAUUUGUUCGUGGUUUCCUUCACUGUACAGAAGCUUUUCAGUUUGAUGUAAUCCCAUUUGUUUAUUUUAACUUUUGUUUCCCUUGCCUUUGAUGUCAGAGCCAAAAGAAAAAUCACUAAGACAGAUGUCAAGGAGCUCACCGCCUGUUUAAUUCUAGGAGAUUUAUGGUUUCAUAAAUUAUUUUAGGAUAAAUGAUUCAGUGGUACUGUUCCAAUCAUAUUAUAUAGGAUACAGGAUGAAAAAAAUACAAUAAAGAAGCACCUACUAUGUGCCAGACCCUGUGAUGAGCUUUUCCUCAUACAUUAUUCUAUUUUAUCCUAUAAACAAACUUUCCACAAUAUUAUCUUACUUUUACAAAACAGAACCUUAUUAAAGAGAUUAAAAGAAUUAAUUCAUGCUACUCAGCUAGUAAACUGCAGAGCUGGGAUUCAAAUCCAGCUCUGUAUUGUCUCCUAAAUUCAGGAAUUUGCUGCUCUAGCACUUUUCCAUGGUAGGCUUUCUGCUUCCAGAAGCCACUUGUAUUGACACCUAUCUCCAUACUUUCCUGAGCAGGAAUUUGUGGUGCUUGGAGAGCAUGGUGCACUUUUCUCCAUCCUCAGUCUCUCUUCUGGCCCUGAUGCCACUCACUGCUUUCCACCCCAGUGAAAGAUAAAGAUCAAGCUGGCUACCCCGGUGCUGGCCCCAGGUUCAUUAGGGGACCGUCUGACUGGCACACUGGACAGUCCUCUGUGUCUUGGAACAAGGUGUUUUCCCCUCUCAGAGACCCCAGAGCCUCUCAGGAGCCCUGUUUUGCUCCUGACUCUGAAGAGAUGCUCCUCAAAGAGACUGUUACUGGUGGCUCAGCCUCUUUCCCAUCCUGAUCAUCCUGAUCCCACCCAACCAACUGGCUUUCGGACCUGCUAAUAGAAGAGCUGGCAACAGUCAAUCACAGCAGUACCAGGAAGAUAGCUGCUUCCUCCCUCCUUCCAUCACUGAGCUUCUCUAGGGAGAAUGUGUUAAUGCAGGAGCUCCUGAGACCAACAGGUCUUAUAACUCACAAGGUGGCUUUAAGAACCCACAUGCCUCGAGUCCAAUCAAAUCUCCAUCCCUCUCUGACUGAGCAGAGGGGCAGGUGUGAGUCAAAGAAGCUAAAAGGUAAAGCAUAAAGCUGUUACAAAUUAAUAACAGAAGGGCACACAGACUGUAAUGAGUUAAGUUGCGUCCCCCACCAAGCAAUAUGUUCAAGUCCUAAGCUCUUCAGUACCUGUGAAUGCAACCUUCUUUGGAUGUAGGGUCUUUGCAGAUGGAUGAGGCCAUACUGGGUUGGGGUGGACCCGAAUCCAAUGACUGCAUCCUUGGAAGGCAAGGAAGAUUUGGAGACACACAGACAAGCAGGAGGGAAGACGGAGGCAGAAACUGGAGCCAUGGGGCUGCGAGCCAAGGAUUCCGGCACAGCAAAAGCGAGGAAGAGGCGAGUUAAGAGCCUUCCUUGAAGGCCUCAGAGGAAACACAGCCCUGCCAGCACUUUGAUUUCACACUUCUAGCCUCCAGAAUGAGGAGAGAAUAAAUUUCUGUUGUUUAAAGCCACCCCAUUUGUAGUAAUGUAUUAUGGCAGCCCUAGGAAGCUAAUAUACACAGCAUGGGGGCAAAACAGCAAAAUGAAAUGAAAAAACAAAUCACGAAAGAAGAAAUGCAAAUACAAUUUUAAAAGCGUCAACAAUGUUCAACCUUAAUGGUAAUAAAAGAAAUGUGACUUAAAACAAGAA